UGCGUAGGUGGUUUCUUAAGUCAGAGGUGAAAGGCUACGGCUCAACCGUAGUAAGCCUUUGAAACUGGGAAACUUGAGUGCAGGAGAGGAGAGUGGAAUUCCUAGUGUAGCGGUGAAAUGCGUAGAUAUUAGGAGGAACACCAGUUGCGAAGGCGGCUCUCUGGACUGUAACUGACACUGAGGCACGAAAGCGUGGGGAGCAAACA
rnacentral:rRNA from 2 species